rnacentral:rRNA from 1 species
GCGCAGCAGUCGCGAAAACUCUGCAAUACGCGAAAGCGUGACAGGGCUACCCCGAGUGUCGUCCGCUGAGGACGACUUUUCCACGCUGUAAGGAGGCGUGGGAAUAAGGAGAGGGCAAGUCUGGUGUCAGCCGCCGCGGUACUACCAGCUCUUCGAGUGGUAGGGAUGUUUAUUGGGCCUGAAGCAUCCGUAGCUGGCUGAACAAGUCCUCCGUUAAAUCCAGCGAUUUAAUCGGUGGAUUGCGGGGGAUACUGCUCGGCUAGGUGGUGGGAGAGGCCAACGGUAUUCUCGGGGUAGGGGUGAAAUCCUAUAAUCCCGGGAGGACCACCAGUGGCGAAGGCUGUUGGCUAGAACACGCCCGACAGUGAGGGAUGAAAGCUGGGGGAGCGAACCGGAUUAGAUACCCGCGUAGUCC